GAUGAACGCUGGCGGCGUGCUUAACACAUGCAAGUCGAACGGUGAAGCCCAGCUUGCUGGGUGGAUCAGUGGCGAACGGGUGAGUAACACGUGAGCAAUCUGCCCCCUGACUCUGGGAUAAGCGCUGGAAACGGCGUCUAAUACUGGAUAUGAACCGUGGAGGCAUCUUCAACGGUUGGAAAGAUUUUUUGGUCAGGGAUGAGCUCGCGGCCUAUCAGCUUGUUGGUGAGGUAAUGGCUCACCAAGGCGUCGACGGGUAGCCGGCCUGAGAGGGUGACCGGCCACACUGGGACUGAGACACGGCCCAGACUCCUACGGGAGCAGCAGUGGGAAUAUUGCACAAUGGGCGCAAGCCUGAUGCAGCAACGCCGCGUGAGGGAUGACGGCCUCGGUUGUAACC
rnacentral:rRNA from 1 species